AAUAAAGUAACCUGGACUGUUGUACUAUGGCCGUCCAUACUGCUUGUACCCAAAGAGCAAAUCAUUUAUCCUUGACCAUUCAAGUUGUCUGCAGCAUCUCGGUCAAACCUCUGAGCUCUGUGGUUAGUUUGAAGCAUUAGAUACGCAGUUGAGGACAAGAGCUGAAACCAGGAGCUGAGCAUCUGUAUCAUCUCUGUGACUUCUCACUUAUCCCCGGACCUGUCACAGAGAGUCUUCUGGUGCUGAUUUCUCACCUAUGAAGUGACUGCCUUGAUAUUUACCACCAGAGAAUGGUGCCUGUACUUAUUCACAAGGAGAAAAGCAACUGGAACCAGGAGAUGCCCACUAGUGUAUACUGAAUGGCCUGUGUCAGGGCAUUGCCUCAGCACAACCCAGAACUGGGGAGAAGCAUCCCAGCCACCCGGCAGAGCAGAGAGGGUGGAGACAGCCAAGGGGGGUGCUGACGUCCAGCUCCCACGGCCAUGACCACUUAGUGUCUUCUGGAGGACACAGAGGACGAACCAUCACAGCUCCAGCACCGAUGUGCACAGUAAACAUCUACAUGGUGAGAAACAGCCGAAACUCUAUUUUCUCUGCUGAUGGAAGAGGGUAUGAGAGAAGAAAACACAAAACAGGCCCUAACUGCACAGGGCUCACGUUGUUUUUCUCACGGGGGCUCGCUUACUGCCUGGGCAGCUUGCUUCUGGAGGGGCAGCAGGCUGUGGGGGUGGGGCCAGAACUGGGAGAGGCAAGAGAAAGGCAGCCUUCAAGGCUGAGCGAAUUCCCUGAGGCACCCAAGGGGUAAACAAAGGAGUUCAGAAGCGGCAAACCCUUGCUGCCUCUGUGCCAUCCAUCUAGAACAGAAGAGAGGCAAGACGCUGUGGAAUGGGAAAAGAUAUUUUCAACUAGCAAAGCCUUAAGAUCCCAAAUAAAUGCCUACCGAAGUAAC